rnacentral:rRNA from 1 species
UACGUAGGGGGCAAGCGUUGUCCGGAUUUAUUGGGCGUAAAGAGCGUGUAGGCGGCCUGAAAGGUCAGCUGUGAAAACUCGAGGCUCAACCUCGAGACGUCGGUUGAAACCAUCUGGCUAGAGUCCGGAAGAGGAGUGUGGAAUUCCCGGUGUAGCGGUGAAAUGCGCAGAUAUCGGGAAGAACACCCGUGGCGAAGGCGGUUGCCUGGGGCUUUGCUGACGCUGAUGCGCGAAAGCGUGGGGAGCGAUCCGG